GUAGGUUCCCAAAUGCACUUUUAACAGAAUAACAUUUUUCAUACUUUUGUUAAUGUAUGUCUCAUCUGGCUGUUUACAAACAGGAAUCUCCUGUUUUUAGUCAAUAAAUAAAAUAUUUAGAAGCGGCACUGAAAUCCCAUGGGUUUUAUAUACACCCCAGGAAGGGAUAGACUGGUGGAGCAAAGCUUGGGUUUGAAAAGCUCCAGUGGAGGAAGUCCCCAGGCCCAGACUCAGGCCAUGCCAGAAGAAAGGAGAAGUUUUGUCUGAAGCUGUGCUUGGUAACACUCCCCACCCUCCCACCCACCUGAUAUUCUCACGCCUCUGCCUUGUCAAGACAUGAAUGAGGCCCAGUUUGUGCCCAGGUCAUUUUGCGCUUUGCCAUAUGCUGUGUGGAAGCUGCAGAGUGGCCAUUGUGGUGCUGGUCAAGAAGGGAGUGCCAGAAGAUUGACCUUUGUCCCUAAAGAGAACACCUGGCUGAGUCCAGGGCCUGGUUCGAAUCCAGUUCCAGGGAGCAGGGAAGGUACUGAGCCAGUCUCUUCCACUGAGUGCAUUCCAAGGGUGUUAAUGGAGAGUCUUAAGGGAUCAGACACAUGCACCCUGGGGAUCCUCUGUUGCUUUUGUACCAGCUCAUAGAGUCCUAGUAGCCUCUGUGAGCUGAAAAAGCCUAUUUAUCGCCUUGGAAUCAGCACUCCUGCCAACAAGGGUUAAUCGAGAUGGGAAGGGAAAGAAUGUGCAGCAUUAUGUGACUGUAGUUUGUUAUGGUAUUGGUGGAGUGAAAUUGUGAGAAGGCAUGGGAAAUGUAUUUGGAGUCUUAUAAAAUCUUUAUAACUCUGAGUCAGGUUGGAUCUGGGUCAUUACCGAAUUCCUGUGAUGUAGGGAAAAUCAUGUCACCAGUUACAUCUGCUGAGAUUCUGCCAGUCAAGUGGUCUCUGCCUCCCAAUAUUAAAUGUCCUUGUCAUCUUGUUAUGCUAUAUUAGCAGGGAGAGGCUACUGAGGCUGUCUUGGGAAUGACUGAGCCUCUUUGCUGUUUCCAGUCUUGUAGCUUCAACAGAACAUGCCAUCCAUGCUGACCUUAUUGAACAAGUCAAUCUCAUCCAGAGGUGUAGUAGGUGGUGG
rnacentral:lncRNA from 10 species